UUCUGCUUCUGUUCCUUUUGAGGAGGGAACACGACUUGGCCAAUGUCAGACUUGAAGGAUGUGGUCCAGCCUCACCUCCAUCUCCCCACAAAGGUAAUUUGGGGUGAGGAUGGGAACUGCUGCCCCCAGCCUCUUCCUCUCCACAUCCCACUUGGAAGUCAUGCUGUCGGUGCACCAAAGAGCCAAAGGUCCAUGAGCCCUGUCCCAAGGCAUCAGCUCUUGCUGUCUGUGGCUGUGCUGCUCACAUCUGUGCUUCCCCCUGCUUAUGCCAUUAGUUCUGCAGCAUCAUGCAGGAACAAGUGCAGCCAGUUUCAGCUCCACAGGUCACCAGGUGCUGAUAAAUUGUUUUCCUGGAGAUCCAUCACUUCCCAUUUGCUAUGUGAAACACCUGGGCUGCCUGCAUGGAAUAGCUCUGCUGGAUACCGAGGAGAUGUUCCCAUCCAUGAUCAUGCUCGAGGCACUUCGGGAAACAGUAAGAAAAUCAGGGCCCCACAUUAAGAGAGGGAAAAGGCUGGGUGGCGAGACCUGGACAUGCUCCUUUCCACUCCCUCUUCCCUUUCCUUCCUUCCUUCACAGGCCUUGCUCUGUUCCUGGACGUGGACAGUGUCCAGGGCAAUGUGUGUUGGAGCUGUCUAAGAUGCAACAAAGAACUUCCCUUAGGCCUGAAUUAUGCAGAUCCUCCCAUUUUAGUUAUUUCCACCCUGGUUAUAAAUAAUGUGCUAAGCAGAACUUUCUUCAUCCGGAAACCUUUAGGAACUGGUUCCCAGUCAUCCAGUUUGGAUUAUGUCCCAAACAGGUUGCUGCAAACCACACCAUCCUUUCCCUAUUGGGGUUAUUGCCGUGGUGAUUUCCAGUGACCAUGAAUGAUGCUGGGAGCAGGAACAUCUUGUGGCAAUAUGUUGCCCUUGAACCUUGAGUUGGGGAUCGUGGGGUUUAAGGCAUUUGAAAGCUGUGUCUGGAAUCUGUGACUCGUGUAGUGCUCUGACAUGAGAGAAGGGAUGCUUUGAACCAUGGUGGCUGUGGGAGUUCACCAGAGCAGCUCUGCUGGGACUCCUGGUAUCUGCAAGGCAGCGUCCAACAACACCCUUCCCAGCUCUACGCUCUGGCCCUUCAUGCCCAGGCUACCAGCGUCCCGAGGAGGAGAGGGAGCAGGAGCUGACACUUCCUGACACUGGCUGCUCUCCCGGCCCCCGGGAGCUCCUCAGGAAUGGUUUUAAAGUAAUAUUUAUGGAUGAUCCUGGUGGAUCGGGCCCUAAAAGGCACAGAGAAAGGGCUGUUGUUCAUUACCAUUUGGAAACUGUGCACCGAGGAGUUCCCUGCGGAGGGGCAAAAGAAAUGGAGUGAAAGUGAAGCAGCUUUCAAGUUAAUCCAGAUCUUUUUGAGCAUUGUUGUGUUGGUAAAACUCGGAACCUUAUUUUUGAUGAAGAAAAAAAGAAUUGCAUUUUUGGGGAUGGUUUUCCUCAAAAUGGUUUUCUUUCCACGAUUCCAUGCUGAGAUGCCUUAGCAAAGAUAUUUGUUCUUACUGAUAUA